rnacentral:lncRNA from 1 species
GCCUUGAGUAACAGACCACAUCCUCUAUGAUGAAACACAACAAAGCCAAGUAGGAGCUCCACCCCCAGGUCCUCAACACCAACUGUGGGAAAAUAUGGUUGGGAGGAUUGACAAACAGUAUUAAACACGGACAGAGCUUGAGAUCACAGGGGAGAGACCUGCAGGGAGGAGGGGCAUCCAGCUUCCUCACUGAGCUUUCUAGGAUGCAGUGACUUUAAUGCUUACAAAUUCAGAUUCAAACUUUUGCUUACUAUGCCUCUACUUUCUCAUCUGCUAAACAGAAGUAACAUCACCUACUUAAAAGCCACAGAGAGGACUAACUGAAGUAACACAAUGCUCUUAUCACAGGGCCUGCUACCAAACAAGCACUCAGUAAACACAGCUGUUACUCUUAUGCCACUGUUAUAGAUUCAAUAAAAUCUACCUCAAACAAGUGAAGAUUAAAUUUAAAAAAGAGUCCUUCCUUGGUAUCAUAGGGAGGUCAGUUCGAGG